rfam:Candidatus Wildermuthbacteria bacterium RIFCSPHIGHO2_02_FTLL_49_9 rifcsphigho2_02_scaffold_5517, whole genome shotgun sequence.
CGGGCCAUCGUAUAACGGCAGUACGCAUCCUUGGGGUGGAUGCAACGGAGGUUCAAUUCCUCCUGGCCCGA